AUGAACGCUAGCUACAGGCUUAACACAUGCAAGUCGAGGGGCAGCAUGGUCUUAGCUUGCUAAGGCCGAUGGCGACCGGCGCACGGGUGAGUAACACGUAUCCAACCUGCCGUCUACUCUUGGACAGCCUUCUGAAAGGAAGAUUAAUACAAGAUGGCAUCAUGAGUCCGCAUGUUCACAUGAUUAAAGGUAUUCCGGUAGACGAUGGGGAUGCGUUCCAUUAGAUAGUAGGCGGGGUAACGGCCCACCUAGUCUUCGAUGGGUAGGGGUUCUGAGAGGAAGGUCCCCCACAUUGGAACUGAGACACGGUCCAAACUCCUACGGGAGGCAGCAGUGAGGAAUAUUGGUCAAUGGGCGAGAGCCUGAACCAGCCAAGUAGCGUGAAGGAUGACUGCCCUAUGGGUUGUAAACUUCUUUUAUAAAGGAAUAAAGUCGGGUAUGGAUACCCGUUUGCAUGUACUUUAUGAAUAAGGAUCGGCUAACUCCGUGCCAGCAGCCGCGGUAAUACGGAGGAUUCGAGCGUUAUCCGGAUUUAUUGGGUUUAAAGGGAGCGUAGAUGGAUGUUUAAGUCAGUUGUGAAAGUUUGCGGCUCAACCGUAAAAUUGCAGUUGAUACUGGAUAUCUUGAGUGCAGUUGAGGCAGGCGGAAUUCGUGGUGUAGCGGUGAAAUGCUUAGAUAUCACGAAGAACUCCGAUUGCGAAGGCAGCCUGCUAAGCUGCAACUGACAUUGAGGCUCGAAAGUGUGGGUAUCAAACAGGAUUAGAUACCCUGGUAGUCCACACGGUAAACGAUGAAUACUCGCUGUUUGCGAUAUACGGCAAGCGGCCAAGCGAAAGCGUUAAGUAUUCCACCUGGGGAGUACGCCGGCAACGGUGAAACUCAAAGGAAUUGACGGGGGCCCGCACAAGCGGAGGAACAUGUGGUUUAAUUCGAUGAUACGCGAGGAACCUUACCCGGGCUUAAAUUGCAGAUGAAUUACGGUGAAAGCCGUAAGCCGCAAGGCAUCUGUGAAGGUGCUGCAUGGUUGUCGUCAGCUCGUGCCGUGAGGUGUCGGCUUAAGUGCCAUAACGAGCGCAACCCUUGUUGUCAGUUACUAACAGGUUCUGCUGAGGACUCUGACAAGACUGCCAUCGUAAGAUGUGAGGAAGGUGGGGAUGACGUCAAAUCAGCACGGCCCUUACGUCCGGGGCUACACACGUGUUACAAUGGGGGGUACAGAGGGCCGCUACCACGCGAGUGGAUGCCAAUCCCAAAAACCUCUCUCAGUUCGGACUGGAGUCUGCAACCCGACUCCACGAAGCUGGAUUCGCUAGUAAUCGCGCAUCAGCCACGGCGCGGUGAAUACGUUCCCGGGCCUUGUACACACCGCCCGUCAAGCCAUGGGAGCCGGGGGUACCUGAAGUGCGUAACCGCGAGGAGCGCCCUAGGGUAAAACUGGUGACUGGGGCU
rnacentral:rRNA from 1 species